AGUCAACAUUCUAGUCUGAAGGUGGCAGAGGCUCAUAAGUCUUCCCUGCUGACUGAGGAGACAUGGAUAGUUGAUGGCUUUGAAGAGAAGUGGAAUCUGUUUUCUUCAAGGGUGUGGUCUCUGGUAUAAAAAACAGGGAAUGAAUAAAGGUCAGCCAGCUCAUCUCAGAAGGACGCAGGACACCACAAAUGCACCCCGAAUCCCCGACAAUGCCUGAGUAAGUCUGUGGAGACUCACUCUUACCUGAAAACUCCUAUCACCACAUCUAAGCCUGUCCUGAGUACUUCUCACUGAACAACGGUCUCCUGGUCGCUGAUGCAGCAUGAUCGGCCGGCUUCACUCUUGUCUCCAUGCCUUCCCCACCGUGAUGGAUCAGAGUCCCUCAAACGGGCUCCGAUUUACCAUUCUGCAGAGAGAGCAACCACCUCCAGCCCAAUCUCAAAAUCAAGUCCAAACGCUGUCCAAAGUCCGUGAAGUCUUAGUCCAAUGCCUUGUUUGGUUUCAGUCAUCCUUUUUCGCUGAGUUUGCAGUCCAACUCCUUCUCUCGCAGCUCUGCUAAUAUUGUCCCUUAAUUCUGCUUUGUAAUAAAUACCAUCGGCUUUAAUGUGUCUUGAAGGACUGCGCCAAGGGCUCCUGGGAUCCCUAUGAUCCCUAUGAUUCCUCAUCAACUUGACACACUUUGAAUCACCUAGGAAGACAGUCUCGGGAAGGGACUAUCUAGAUUAGGCUGGUCUAUGGGCAUGGCUGUGAUGGAUGUCUUGAUUCCAUUAACUGAUAUGGGAAACUUCAGCCUAAAUGUGGAUGGUGCUGGUCCCUGGGUUUGGGUCCUAGGUUAUGAAGGGAAAAGAGAGCUGAUCUGGCAGGAAUGUAUGCAAAGCUCUUGACUGUGGGCGUGACUUUCUGCAUCAAGUUCCCGACGCCUUGACCUCUGUGCAAUGGUGGACUUGAACCUGGAUUUGUAGAAUAAGUUACAUUUUGCUUUUGUCACAGCAACAGGGAAUAAAACUAAGAUGAUAACACCCACCCCUUCCUAGGAGUGCCUCAUUCAAUCAACAUUUAAUAAUUUGUUGACAUUGUUUAAUUUCAUCAUAAUAUAGGAAUUGUGCUAUUCCUAUAUUAAUAAGAACUAUGUGCUAUCUUCACACAGAGCUUCUGUGGGACUUUUCCAACUGUACUAAGCUAUGAGUUUCUCGAGGCACCUACCACUGAGUUAUGCAUGCAACGGACAGAUUUUGGUCAUUUAUUCCUGUUUUCUAUAGCUUAUCUAUACGAACAGAAAAUUAGUAAGUCUAAAAAUUACGGCACUACAAUAUUUUUUUUCAUCUUUAGCAUUUGAACGUGAAAACAAAAGGUAUGGGGUCGCUCUUUAAACACGCACAGAAUGCAUGUUAUUUCAGUUGCAUCUUCAUGGAUUGGUAGGAGUAACAUACUGAAAAUGGCCAUCUUACCAAACUCAGUCUAAAGAUUCAGGGCAGUCCCCCAUCAAAACUCCAACACAAUUCUUCAUAGAUCUUGAAAGGGCAGAUUUGUGCUUUCAUCAAACAUGUGCACGCAUACACACACACACACACACACACACACACACACACACACACACACGCAGGAUAAUUAAAACAAUCCUAAAUAGUAAAAGAACUGCUAGGGCUGUCACCAUCCUCCAAUUUCAGAUUGUACCACAGAGCUACAGUCAUAAAAAAUCGGCCUAGGACCAGCAGGAAAACAAACUGUACAUAGAAGAAUGCAAAUAGAUCCAUACCUACCAUCCUGCGUAAAACUCAACUCCAGAUGGACCAAAGACCUCAACAGAAGUCCAGAUACACUGAAUCCAAUAGAAGAGAAUGGGAAAUAGCCUUGAACUUGUUGGCCCAGGAAAAAGACUUUCUGAGCAGAGCACUGUGAGCAUAGGCACUAAGACCAACAAUUAGUAAGUGGGACCUCAUGAAGCUGGAAAGCUUCUACAUGUCAAAGGACACUGUCAUUAGGACAAUGCAGCAGCCGACAGAAUGGGUAAGAUCUUUAGUAACUGCACAUCUCAUCCAGAAUUAAUAUCCAAAGUAUACGAAGAAUUCGAAAAAACUAGAUAACAAGAAAACAAACAAUUCAGUUUAAGUGGGAGUACAAGUUUAAACAGAGAAUUCUCAAAAGAGGAAACUCAAACAGUGGAGUACAACGAACUGUUAGGGCUAUCACCAUCCCCCAGUUUCAAAUUGUACCACAGAGCCGUGGUAAUAAAAGCAGUGGAAUCAAACUGAAGGCCCAGACGUAAAUCCACACCUGGUUUUUAAUAAAGAAACAAAAAAUACAUACUAUAAAAAAGGAAAGUUAGCACCUUCAACAAAUGGUGUUGGCCAAACUAUCAGCAGAAAAUACAAAACAAAGCUACCUUGAGAUUUCCUCACACACCUGCCAGAACAGUCAAAAUCAGUAGAACACGGUAGCUCGUGCUGGCGAGGAUGCGGAGCAACGGGAACACUCCUCCAUUGCUGGUGGGAGUGCGAGUUUGUACAGCCCCAUUAGAAUCAGCAUGGCAGCUCCUCAGGAAGAUGGAAAUCAAUCUUCCUCAAGAUCCAGCUCUACCACUCAUGGAUGAUACCCAAAGCGUGCUUCAUCCUACCACAGAGACAUGGUCAUUGCCACUUUGUUCAUAGUAGCCAGAAACUGGGAAUACCCUAGAUGUCCCUUAACAAGGAUGUAUGAAGAAAACAUGAUACACUUGCACAAUGGAGGAUUACUCCAUUGUUAAAAAAUAAAAUAAAAUCAUGAAAUUUCCAGGUAAGAGGAGCUAGGGAAAAAAAAUCAUCCUGUGUAAGGUAACCCAGAAAGGAAAAGAUGGUUAUGUGUUGGCAUUAGCUGUUUAGUCAGUGAUAACCAAUCUCAAGGUGCAGAGGUCAUGUAUAAAAUAAGGAACUGGGGGUGGGGACAGACAGAUCUCAUUAGGAAGGGAAUAGAAUAGAUACAUAUAGGUAGAAGAGGGGCUGGACUUGGAGGAUCCGGUGGAAAAGGGGAGGAAGGAAGGGAUUGAGGGAUGGAUUAUGGAUAGGGACAGCUAUAAUUAAAGGUCAUUUGAAGUAUUGUAUGGAAACCUAAUAUAGCAGAAGCUUAUUUCUAAAGUAUAUUUAAUAUAUAUAUGUGUGUGUGUGUGUGUGUGUGUGUGUGUGUGUGUGUGUGUGUGUAUACACACAUGAAGACUAUCUAAAUAAAAUGGCCAAAUAAUGGGAGAGAUGGAGCUCUGUGCCGGUGUGAAUAGGAAUGCCCCCCCCCCCCGUAGAAUGGUCCUUAGGGAGUGGCAUUAAGAAGUGUGGCCUUGGGGUUGGGGAUUUAGCUCAGUGGUAGAGCGCUUGCCUAGCAAGCGCAAGGCCCUGGGUUCGGUCCCCAGCUCCAAAAAAUAGAAAGAAAAAAAAAGCGUGGCCUUGUUGGAAGAGGUGUGGCUUUGAUGGGGGAGGUCAUUCUCAGGUCAUUCUCCAGCUGCCUACGCACUGCCAUGAUUUCCACCAUGAUGAAAAUGGACUAAACCCUUGAAGUAGUAAGCCAGCCCCAAUUAAAUGUUUUCCUUUACAAGAGGUGCUGUGGUCAUGGUGUUUCUUCACAGCAAACCCCAACUAAGAUAAGCCCUUACCAGACAUCUUCUGUCACCAAAUAAAUUCCCCAGUACUGGAGCAAAGGUACAUGUAGUUGAGUUGUUGACCAAUGGGGUCCCAUGGGAGUUCCCGAACAACGUAGGCCAAGACUAUAGGUUGUCCUUAACAAAUUGACAGGAAGACUCUCCUACUGACGAUAACGACUCAUUGAACACAAGAUGAGCUGGUGCCUACCUAGAGCCUCAACCCCUGUUUUCUAGCAUCUUUAGUACAAAAAGAUAAUCUGUACUCUACCAAAGGAGAAAUGUAAACACCGAGCAAAGCAUGAACCCUCUGCUGUACAAUGGUGUCCUCCCUGCAAGAUAAGCUGGUGUAAUCAUGGCAUACAGCUCGUGGGGGUCACCAACCAAUAUCUUAUUUGACGUAAGGCCACUCUAUGAGAUCAAACCCAUCCCUGGACACUGGUCAGGGUGACCAGGAACCUGAGACUAGAGAGCCCAGGGACCCAAGGGAAGGCAAAAUACUACUGUUCUAUAAAAAAAAAAGAUUUAAUUAAAUUUUAUAUAGCAAUAAAAUGACAUAUUAUGCCCAGAUCAUUGUCUUGCUCAGCCAUCAUCAGAGAAGUUCCUCCUGCAGCAGACGGGAACAGGUGCAGAGACCCACAGCCAGACGUUACGCAGAGAGUAAGAGACCUUGAAACACUCAACCUUAAAUAAUAUGUCUCCGAUAAUCCCUCCCUUCAGAGCUCAGGGACUCUUGAGGAAGAGGGGCCAGACUGAGUGUUAGAGUCGGUGGGGGUGGAGGACACCAAGAAAUCAAGACCUAUGUAUAAAUCAACAUGAUCAAAGCUCACCUGACCUCACAGAGCCUUUGGCAGUGUGCCCCGGGUCCUUGGUAUGUCUAUUGUGGUUUCCAUGUUAGUGUGUUUAUGGGAUUCCUGGGUGUAGGAAAGUGGGCUUCUGUUGUUUAUGUCAUCUUUUGGGCUCAUUUCCUGCUAUUUGUUUGUUUUGACCAAUUUUCAUGCUCUAGUUUUUAUCUCAUCUAAUUAUACUUUCUUUCAUUAUUUUAAAGGGGUGUGAUAGAGCCUUUUUCAUUGUAAAGUGUACCUACUUACAUCAUAAAUUAAUUCUGAAGAAUAAAUGAGAAUACGAAAAUAAACUGAGAAAUAGUAAAUAAUGCCGAAUAUUUGUUAUACAUCUGCACGUGCUGUGCUAAGCUUUCUGCAUGAGUUAUCUAACUGAUCAUUUUACAAAAGGCCAAUUUCCUAUAUUUUUGCUGUCAUUACCCAUCUUAUUCUCUCCGGUGAAUUUGUCUUUGUUUUGUUUUUAAUCCUCUCAUUUAAUUUUGGUGAGGUUUCAGAAAGGAAAAAAAAAAAACAUAUAAUGUUUGUGUCCAAGCAGCUACUGGGGCUGACCAGCAUCCAGUGUUUGUUAAACAAAGGAAUUUUAGUGGAACGGUCAAAAGAGCUGACUCUGAUGUCAAACUGCCAGAGUUCGAAGUCAGGUUCCAAAAAUUAUUAGCUGUGAUAUUUCCAUAAACUAUUCAUAGAGAAAGGGAAACUUAAAGUGGGUUUUGUCUCUUUGAAGAGAUAAGAAAGGUUUGUAUCUAAAAACAAUGACAGAGUGCUAGAAGAAAGAGGAGGAGGAGAAAGAAGAAGAAAAAGAGGAACAGGAAGAAGAGGAGAAAGAGGAAGAGGAGAAAGAGGAAGAGGAGAAAGAGGAAGAGGAGGAGGAAGGAGAUUCAAGAAAGAAAUGAAAAUGAAUCUUAGAAAUUUACAAACACAAUCACUCAGUUUAAGUGUUGGGAGAUAAGACUGAAGAACUCUGGGGUGGUGUGGAAGACCUGAAGAGAGCUAAGGAUGUGCAGACCAGAAUAACAGUUUAAUAAUCUCAAAUAAAAAGACAUUUCAAACUGGGGAAAUGGAUAGAAACAAAAUCGUCAAUGAGAUAUUGCAAGAAAACGUCUGGCUGUAGGCGGCUCUAGACACAGAGCGUCUGCCCAACAUCUUUAAAAAAAUCGGAGUUAAAGAUCGGGGUUUCAAGUUGCAAGGACUCAUCCUUCCUCAUAACAAUUGAUUAAACUAGAGCUGCCAAAGGUCACCUCAGUGAGAACCUUCAGCGCAUGCGGAGAACAGAUUCUCACCAUACACACGUAGAUCUCAUGUGAUCAGGGAUCAGGCAACUGUAGAUGCCGCCACAGCAAGACUAGAGUCAGGAAGACAAGGGCACCGUGCCUUCCUUCAAACGGUGAGGGAAAGUAGGGGCCUGCUUUCUAACUUAGAUGGCUUUAUAGCUCAGCGUCAAGUUAAUACGAGAGUCGAAGAGAUUUUCAUAAGCACGAUGUCUCCAAAUCUUACCUGCUAGCCUCAUACACCCUUCCUAGGAGACUCCUAGAAAAUGUGCUCUGUUAACAUGAAGAUGAACCUAGAAGGAGGGAAACAUGGAGGUGAGGGGAUUCUGUGGAACCCUGACAACAAUUAAGCACUAGUCACACAGAAGCCCAAACUGGGGCCCCGCAACCCAGGGGUGAGAUAACCCUGGCCCUUUGUCUUAAGCCAGAGAUACCACAUGAACCCAGCACAGACUGAUGGCACAGACACACACGUGUGCAUGCACACUCACACACACUCACACACUCUCACACACACAUGUGCAUGCACACUCACACACACAUGUGCAUGCACACUCACACACAUAUACUCACACACACUCACGAACACUCACACACUCACACACUUACACACACGUGUGCAUGCACACUCACACACACUCUCACACACUCACGCACACUCACACACUCACAACACACACACACACACAUCUAUGCAGCAUGCUGCAUAUGUGAAACAAUGUCCCUUGCAAAUACUAAUAUAUUCUCUUAGGCACUUACAAAGUCUUAGUGUGCUUUUAUUUUUACAGCUGAGGAAGCCCAGAGAGGUCAAACAGCCAUGAAUAUGAGGUCAGAUUUCAAUUCCAGAGAAACCGGCUUAGAAUCCAAGCUCUGUAACUCUAACGCCCAUGGAGUACCGUGUGGUAACAAUUCGUGGAUAUGUGUAUGCAAAUCAGGAUAAUUUACUUUUCCAUUUGCUCAUUAUUCCGUGGGUUGGAGCUUUUGAGUUCCUUUCUCCGGGUCAUUCAUAAAAUAUACAAUAGGCUAUUGUAAGACAGAAGCAUCCCACAUUGCUGAAGAACACUAGGACAUCUUUCUCCUAUGCAACUGUAUUUUUGUAGCCCUGAUGUAUUCCCCCAACCUCCCCAGCCUCUAGUCAUCCCUCUUCUACAUUAAAAUUCGUGUUAUUUUAGCUUCCGCCUAUAACGGAGAACAUGUGGUAUAUAUCUUACUGCCUCUAAUUCACUGAACGCGAUGUUCUUGAGUCCUGUUUCACACUGGUAACCAUGGAGUCUCGUGGACGUGGACUGGCAGGAAUACUUAUUCUCCCUGGUAGAGAUUAAACUCCACGAUUCCAGAAUGGCUCUGAGCCUCUCUCUGCCAAAGAUCUAGUACCUGGUUCCAAAAAUGUCCUGAUACAUGCCCUGCCUGGCCCAAGGUCAGAAUACACAAGCCCUGUCUCCACCCAUGCCUGCCAAUAGGAUGUUAGUCACUUUACUUUUCCUCAUGAAAUCCUGGUUCCCUGGUGGCCAAUAGAGACCUCUCUUUUCUGGUCUCCUCCCGGCAGUUUUGAGAGAAGAAAUGGGCCUGCACAUUUGCGAGUGUUGUGUACGAUUUGUGAACAGCAGUAAUGACUGUUGCAGUAACUCUCCACUUGGGACGUCUCUAAAUUGGGUGAGCCCAUUUCAAGGUCCCCGUGUCACAUUCCAUGUGUGAUUCCAGAUGUUGUUAUCGGGCUCUUUGCUAUUUUUGGAUGCCUUUGAUUACAUCACAGAUAUCUGUUUCCCCCUGGGAAACACUCGAUGAGAUGGGAGUGCCGCCAUUAGCUACCCUUUCUGGAAGACAGGCACAAAAAUGACAGCCUCCGUCGUGCGGCAUCAUCAUCACGACCUUAGUCCUACAUCAGGCACCAUGGGAAGACUCUCUAUAAACUGCUUCAGAGAACCCAAGGGCAGGGUCAGCUGUGGCCAGAAAGCAGCAUGCUCAAAAGCCAGCUCUCAGAAGAACCUGUAGCACCAAACAGGGCAGGAGACAGCCCUGUGUCCUCCUGUGUACCUGACUCGUCUGCUGGCCCGGAAGUACGUUUAAUCUGUACUUCGUGUUCAAAGCAAAUACCUAUUUCACAAAGAGAAGAGACUCGAGUUACCCUGGUGACAUUCCCACUAAUGAGGCCCAAGAAGACAGGAGUAUAAAUUUGUUCUUCUUUAGACAGAUCUCCCUGUGAAGGUCUCAGAUUGCCCCUGACUGAAAGCGCCAUAACUGUCAUGAUCAACCAUGGAGUUCAGCUAGAUCCUACGAUUCUAUAUGAGAGCAGCCCACACCAGCUCCUAUCUUCAUGAUGUUUGCUUGCAAACUCACAAAUAAACUAAGACAGUAUUAAAUUCCAUGGCCAAAAGGCCAGUAUCCAGUAAUCCGAGGGUCUAUAGUGUGAGUUAUUUCACCAUAGCCAAGUUGUUACUGUCAUCUGAUCUGCACCUUUAAGAGUCUUCUUUGAAGCUGGAAAGAACCCAGAUGUCCUUCAACAGAGGAAUGGAUACAGAAAAUGUGGUACAUCUACACAAUGGAAUACUACUCAGCUAUCAAAAACAAUGACUUCAUGAAAUUCAUAGGCAAAUGGAUGGAACUAGAAAAUGUCAUCCUGAGUGAGGUAACAAAGUCACAAAAGAGCACACAUGGUAUGCACUCACUGAUAAGUGAAUAUUAGCCCAAAAGCUCAGAAUAUCCAAGAAACAAUUCACAGACCACAUGAAGCUCAAGAAGGAAGACCAAAGUGUGGAUGCUUCAGUCCUUCUUAGAAGGAGGAACAAAAAUACUUACAGGAGUAAAUAUGGAGGCAAAUUGUGGAGCGGAGACUGAAGAAAAGGCCAUCCAGAGACUGUCCUACCUAGGGAUCCAUCUCAUAUACAGACACCAAACCCAGACAAAAUUGCAGAAGCCAAGAAGUGCAUGCUGACAGGAGCCUGAUAUAGCUGUCUCCUAAGAGGCUCUGCCAGAGCCUGACAAAUUCAGCCAACCAUUGAACUGAGAAUGGGCUCUCCAAUGGAAGAGUUAGAGAAAGGACUGAAGUAGCUGGAGGGGUUUGCAACCCCAUAAGAAGAACAACAAUAUCAACCAAUCAGACCCCCCAGAUCUCCCAGGGACUAAACUACCAUGCCAAGAGUACACUGAGAUGGACCUAUGACUCCAGCCACAUAUGUAGCAGAGGAUGGCCUUGUCAAGCACCAAUGGGAGAAGAGGCCCUUGGUUUUGUCAAGGCUUAAUGCCCUAGUGUAGGGGAAUGUCAGGGAGAGGAGGUGAGAGGGAGGGAGUGGGUAGGUGGGGGAGCACCCUUAUUGAAGCAGGGGGAGGAGAGAUGGGAUAGUGGGUUUCUGGAGAGGAAACAGGGAAAGGGAUAACAUUUGAAAUGUUAAUAAAACUAUCCAAUAAAAGAAAAAAAAAAGAACAGUUUUCUUUGAAGAGAAUCAUGUUCCUGGACCCCAAGUUCAUAUGCUGAAAUCUUUAUCCCUGAAAUUCAUGACUGCUUGUUUGGAAAUAUAAACCAUUUUAACUACAAGUGACUAAGAUAAGGCUGUGAGUGUAGGCUCUAAUCCAGUAAGUCAGAUCAUCCACAUACGAAGGGAGAUUUCCCCAAUGCCAGAGUUGGUACCAGGUGUUUUCUGCAACCAACAGCAAGGAACCAUGCAACACACAAGAAAGACGAGUGAAGACUCAGGGGAAGAUGCACCGGUUGCACCCAUGGUGAGGGAGCAGUAACCAUGGGCAAGCCAAAGGGAGAUCUGGAAUAGGCCCUUGCCUCACAGCCCUCUGAAGGAGACAGCUCUGGCCAGCUGGUAAAGACAUUCCCACCUAUAUCUGCAUAGAACAGGACCACCUCUGUGCUAACUUUUCUGCUUGUUCCAUUCUGUUUGCCUUCUAAUAUCUCAGGAAACUUCAAGAGGCAGAAGUUCAUAUGUGAGCUCCAAGGGUCUAUAAUAUGAGUUAUUUCACAUAGCCAGGUUUGGUUUAGGAAGGUGGAAAUCUGUUCUGGCCUGGAUGUAAAAUUGCUCCCAAUGGGCUUCUGUGUUUGCACAUUUGGACCUCAGCUGGGGUGCUAGUUUGGAAGGCUGUAGACCCUUGAGGAGGUAGGAUGUAGAUGGAGAAGCGGGUCACCGGGAUGCAGGCCUGGAGGGUUGUAGUCCAUUCCCACUUUCAGCCCUAGUCUGGCUCUGCCUUCUGGUGUACCAAGGUGCAAACAGGCCAGCAUACGGCCCAUCCCUGUGAAGCCACCAGACACUGUCUCCCCUCACACUGUGAGCCACUGUAGAGCCUUUCUCCUGUAUGUUGCUUUUGCCAGGUGUUUGAUCAGAGUAAUGAGGUUAACUAAUGUGUAUGCCAAGCACCCUAUGCUCUUUCAAUACCAUCAUUCCAUAGCUAUAAGCUGAGCCACUCUGACAGCGUAAGCUCUGAUCUGCACCAAAGACCUUAGAGACAGAAUAAAGAUCCAAGCUCCUUCUUUCUGUCUCUUGGUCACUGGUGGCCAUUGUUCUGUGACCUCAGGCACUUUAAGUCCUUCUGACCUGGGUCUCCAGGAUGCUAACAGUGGGUUCAUGGCCCUGCUCCAACAUCAGCCUCCGCACACUUAACACUUCACUCAGUUGGGAAAACCCACCCGGUUCUCCGGACCAGCCCUAUCUGCUCCCUCCGUCCCUUUCUUCUUCCUCCAUGGAGUACUUCCUUUCUGUUCUUCUUGUUCACUGAAAUAAAUGUAACGUCCCCACCUGGAGUACGAAGCAUGGGCAGAUUUGACCAGCUACGCCCCCGAAUUUGUUGGAUUUGAACAUAAAGGGGGAAAGGGCUGAGAACUGAGCCGAUCUGGCAGCCAUUCAGCCGGAUCUGGACAGUGUCAAGAGGGCCCAACAGGACAUGGGCAUCUGUGAAGGGAGACACUGAGCUCUCCCUCAGAAAAACCCACCAGGGCCAGGCACACCAACACAUGUGUGUAAUCCCAGGACUCCAGAGACAAAAGCAGCAGGAUUGUGAGUUUCAGGCUAGCCUGGACUACAUCGAGAGACUAUGGCAAAAGUAAAAGAGAGGUAUGAAAGAGAAAGGUGGUAAAUAACAAAAAAAGAAAGAAAAGAUCAGAUGUCGAGAUACCAUGUCAUGCUAGUGCCAGCGGGCCACAGGGGACUAGCAGGGUGUUUCCUUCUCGACAGGCUCUCUGGCCCAGAGUUCUCAAAGCAUCUCCACCUGACUCGCUAAGUUCCCUCGGCGAGUCCAGUCGCUUCCACACCAGCCCCAUAGUCACAAUUCCCAGUAUGUCGGUAAAAAUCAAAACUCUAGAGGCUUAUAAUUUAUCAAUCAGAUUUAUAUUAGUAAAUUCUCACUCUACAAAUCGUCCAUAUAAUACACUCAGAGCCAACUGAUAUUGACAUAAACUGCCCACCUAGAUAAGACAAAUUAUCCUAUAAUGACUCAUCCCUUACAAGAUAUUUAUAGCUACCUGUGGCUAAUUAAAGCCAUACGGGGUGGGUCAUCUUUCUCCUCUUCCAUCUUCUCUUCUUUAUUUUCCCUCCUCUCUCUCUCUCCUCUCUCCAAACUCUGUCCCCGCCUUACUUUUUCACUACCCAAUCACAGACCUUGCCUUAUUUUGUGCCUGCCCUCACCUGCAUAUAGACAUCAAUCCACAAGUAUUAGGGCAGAAUAUACAAUAUUCAAUGUACAAUAUAUACUUGCAUGAAAACUAGAGUAUCAUGUACUAUAAAUAUAUACAAUAUGUUUUAUAAAGGACGGGGGUACUGCAGGGGUCUAGCAACCCCAGUUAUCCUUGCUUUUAAUUCUACCCAGUGUUUGUGUUUGUUCAGAGGCUAAAACAGGGUGAUCAACUCAUCUCUGUGGGCUCAGAUGUUCCCAGCACUCAAUGGUGCUCACACACACAACUCCUGGGUGUGCUGAGCCCCAGGGAAAGCCAGUUCUGGUUCCUUAUUGGAUGCAAGACCCCAUCCCCAACCCCACUCUUACCCCACAGCUUCUGACCCACUGGAGAGGACCCUACCCAUGCCUCCUCCUCCUCUUCUCCUCUGCUUUCAUUCCCAGGCACAGAGCUGGCAGUAACCUGAAGGCCCUCCUGCCUCCCUGCCCUUUCUCCUGUCUUUCACAGGAAUGUCUCCCACUUAGUUGCCUAAUUCUCCAGUCCUGUGCGAGCAUUUGGUUCUCAAAAGAUCAGCUCCAUACAGAGACCCACUUGUCAGCCAUUUUCUUUUUCGGUCUCCCUAACUAAUUGUGUUGGGUCCAGUGUGAAAACCACCAAUACACCUGCCGGCGAUCUCAGAGGGAGAGUGGUGUGCAAAAUCAUCCUUUGAGGAAAACGUAGAAUAUUGUUGGCAGUGAUCCAAGCUGAACAUCUUAGGAGCACCGAGGAAGAAGGACUGAGCUGCCUCAGUGAGGGGAAGGGUGAGAGUCAGCAGCAGGUGUGCCUCUCAGAUUAGCAGACAAGAAUUCUUACUGUUCUCCUCCGUCAGGUCCUAGUACGAUAAUAAAGCCUUCAUGUGCUUUGGAUGGGAAUUCACAAAACGGAGAUGUGCUUUGCAGUGAAUUCUAUUGCGAUCAGCAGGGAAAACAGUGGCUUGUUCUAACUCCCCAACCAGAGAAGCUAGGGUGUGUGUGUGUCUGUGUGUCUGUGUGUGUGUGUGUGUGUGUGUGUGUGUGUGUGUGUGUGUGUGUGUACGCACGUGUUCACUGCUAUAUGUAGGCCUGAGCCUGUCAUGUGAGCAACACACAUAUUGUAGAAAUGUGGAGAUUUUUACAUCACUGUCUCCUGUAAUUUCUGGUUUUCCAUUUUAAAGACGCAUCACUAAUUAUAGGAUAGUUAUCCCAGCUGGAAGUCUUUUCUCUUCACUGGAUACAACCAAUUCCCAGUAAGGUUAAAAAACAGAUAAAUGUUCUAUGUGGCAUUUCAAAGGCUAAAUAUUAUACAAGGUCACUGUGAGUCACUUUUUUUUCCUUAAAUUAACACAUUACUUUGAUGCUCCAGGAAAAACAUUCUAAUACCUAUUUCCCUUUAACUUUAGUUAUGAAACAAUUCCACGCCGAGCCCCAUGCUACAAUGCACCUCCAGUCUCUGAACUGGAAGACAUUCAUACAGGUUCAUGUUGAACGUGUCUAGAAAUGUGAUAGAGUUCUAAAAAGGAUGCACACACUCAGACAGAUCAGGGUCCCACUGUAGUGUGCUCAUUUAUGUUUGAAUAUAGUCCUUGGCAGUUAGGGCUUCCAUAUAUGAGGCAGAUUUGUUAGUACCACAGUGGCCAUUGAAGUCCAACAGGAACUUUGUAGGGGGCCCGCUGUAACCAAUGCCUUCUGCAUGAUGGAACUAGAAUACCAUGUCGCAAAGCUAGGGCUGAUCCUUGACUAUUCCUACACACAGAGCUAGAGACAUUUACCCAUGGCUUGCUUCUGAGGGAUCUCCUUGGUCCACCCUUCCAUUUCCAUCCCUCUUCUCCAUCUCUCAGUCCAGACUCAGAGUGUGCCUUGCCUCCACCACUGUCUUAGUCUCCCUUCCCAAGAUUUCCACUACAGUAACUCAACCAGGGUAGCCUCCAGGGCAGCAUCCCAGACAGCCUCCAGGACAGCAUUCAGGACAGCACUCAGGGCAGCACCCAGGACAGCAUCCCUGACAGACCUUGGUGGAGACGAUCAUCUAAUGGCAAGACUUUCCAAGAAAAAUGUCCCUCAGCUUGGUAUCAUUGUUAGCCACUGUUCCCAGGCUUCACGUCUUGUCAUCCCAAGACCCUGCUAACUGUGACAGUCGCUGCUUUCACACCUCCUGUCUUCCCUUAGCCAAGACUUUCCAUCAGGGAUGUUCCUGCCUUCCUUCUUCAGAUGUUCCCUGGGUUAAAUACAAGUUCCGAGAAGCACUUCUCAGACCCACCUGCUUGGCUGCAUCAGCCCACUACUCUACCCUCGUCAUAGCCUCUGCUACAUUUAUACCUAUCUCUGCCCCUCAAGCUGUGGGUCUUAAUGAAAGGUGACCAACUACUUUAAUCUAUGAAUGUUGCUACAGAAGAAAAAAAUCUGAGACUGGAUACGCUAUAAAGAACACAGUUUUUUUACCCUGUCAUUUCAGAAGCUAAGGAGUACAAGCUCAAGAUGGUGGCAGGUGAGGGCCUGCCGCACCACCACCAUCUUUUACUGCUGCUCCCUCAUGAGGAAGAGAGCAGAGGGACAGAAAGAGGUGAGAAGGAGCCCCUCUGGCUCUGCUGUAGUUACUGAUCCCACCCAUGACAGUGACACUCUCCUGACUUCACCACUUUAGGAGGGUUCACCUCUGACUACCACUACAGUGGGGAUUCUGUUCCAAAAUGAACCUGCAGGGGGCGCUCUCUGAUCCCUCUGGUCUGAAUGACUGAGUUCCACCCCAACAGUUCUCCCAUAGCAGACCUGGCUGUCAGACUCUUUUUCGGUUAUGUCCUGGGGUCAUUUGAUUCCUCUAAAUUGUGUUUCAGGCUUUAAGAUGGGUGUGUUCAUCAUCUCUGUAUAGUAGCGCAUCUUCCUUCCGAGAGUGGGUAAUGUGCACAUGGACGAGUCCAUGCUCAUAUGCACACAGAAGCCUGAAGAUGAGGUCAGGUGUCCUUGUUUAUGACUAUGGCUGUCUACCUUGAGAUAAGAUCUCUACUCAAUUUGGACCCAGCAAGUCCCUGGGGCUCUGUAGCAGUACCAAUUAAAUACUCAAAUUGAUCUCAGCGGUGGCAUUCCUCAUACCUUCCCCAAUGUUCUAGGUUCCUGAAUGAAAGACACAAACACACAGCCUUUAUAUUUUGACAGGCCUAAAACAGCUCAGUGGCUGGGCCACAUCCUAAGCUCCAUGUAGCUAAUCUACCUCCCUCCAAUACUCCCAAGUUAUUACUUACUAACAUUCUACAUUCCAUCUUUGCUGCCCCCGGACCAGUCGGGCAGCUCUUGGGGCUGCUUUCCUCUGGCUCCUACAUUGUGGCUGUGCUCUCUGUCCCAUACCUUCUCAGUCAUGGCAUCUCUCCUCUCCUCCUAACAUGGUAGAUCUCCUUCUUCCCUCCUUUUCUCUCUGUUCCUAGCCCAGGAAUACUAAAAGUCCUGCCUCUGUCUGCCCUGCCCGGCCCAGCCAUUGGCUGUCAGCAUCUAUUUACCAAUCAGAACCAACUGGAUGCAGGAUCCCUGAGUGUGCAAACACUUGUGUGAGCAGUUUGGGGGGCCCAAAUUAACAUAAGAAUAUAAGCAGCUACAGGGCCCUCCUGUCUCUGCCCCUUCAGUGCUGGGUUUGCAGACUCCAUUGAGCCUUGCCCAGCUGCUUUUGCCUACAUGCUAGAGAUCUAAUCUCAGGGUCUCCUCCUACCCACAGAGCCAUCUCUGCAUUCCAGGAACACAACUUUCGAAAGGAAAUGUGUAGCCCUUACAACCAGAAUAUCUCAUGCACUAUGUAAAUGUGAAUUCUGUGAAGGCAAUAGCCUUCCUGGUUUAGUUUUUACCCAGUUAUGGUAAAUUUAACUUAAAUAAGCCCAAAGGAAGGAGAUUGUGGCUAUUCUUCAACUUAAACAUGUUUUGGGGUGAGUAACCUGACCUCUCUUUGCAAGCACCAGGAGUUUUGAAGAGUGUGUAAGGUGGACUGAACUCAAAACCAAAUCCUCUUUUUUUUUUUUUUUCGGAGCUGGGGACGGAACCCAGGGCCUUGCUCUUGUUAGGCAAGUGCUCUACCACUGAGCUAAAUCUCCAACCCCAAAACCAAGUCCUCUUAAUGAGGUAGACUAGUCUGUGGGUGUCUACAACCACCAACCCCAGAACAGCACCCUUCUUCACUGCUGUCCAUUGAAGCAUCAGCUGGAGGAAGAACAUUUGACACAAAUGCAAGCUGAGUCUUGUGGGGAUGGUGUGAGAACCAUGAGGCAGCCCUUACAGAGCAUUUGCUGGCUUUUGAGCCAGGCUUCACGGAAUGAAUGGCAGAAGAAGUCGUUUUGGUUAGAGUGUUCCUGAGGCACAAGGAAGUCCUCUUUGACCGUAAUAAUUCAGACUAGAAUAGGAAUGACCCUCGUAGGAUCAUAUGUUUGACUGCUUAGGCAUCAGGGAGUGGCACUACUUGAGAAGGAUUAGGAAAUGGAGACUUGGAAGAAGUGUUACUAGAUGUGGACUUAGGCAUUUAAAAAGCUCACACCAGGGCCCAGGAUCUCUCUCUCUCUCUCUCUCUCUCUCUCUCUCUCUCUCUCUCUGCAGAUGUAGCUCUCUCUCUAUCACUUCUCCAGCACCAUGCUGACUACAUGCUACCAUGCUCCCCACAAUAAUAACAACAGAUGAAACUUCCAACACUACAAACCACCCCCUGAUAAGUGCUUUCUCUUUAAGAGUACCUUGGUCAUGUUCUGUUCACAGCAGUAGACCAGUGAUGAGACAUGGACUCAGACAAAACUCAGAUGUUCUUUCUCACACAUAGAUGCUAGCUUAUAAUGUCUGCCAGGGGCCAGCCCCGACAUUGGUCUUCUUUCUUGUGUUGGUUCUUCUUGAGGCAGCGGAGGGCAGGGGGAGCAUCGGCGGAGGGUAAGACUUUGUCUUACAAGAUAUUUAGGGUUGCUGUAUAAUAAUAAGUUUACUUAUCUAAGUUACUAUGUUACUGUAGCUGAUUUACUUAUCUAUGUCUAAGUCACUAUGCUCUGCUACUAUAACUGUUCCUCUGAGGCCAGAAACUGCAGCCUCUGGCACUUAGCACCUCAUUCUAAAACAGCAGGAGAUAAAGUAGAGGAUUACUUGCUGGAGCCUUUUCCCUUUUGUCCCUAUGUCUCUUGUUUGUCAGGCUAGGGGAAAGUUUGGAGCAAUAAACUUCUAUUGAACCAAGAGAGGUGAAUAGCGCUUGCAGAAGGAAAAGCGUCUACAUAGCCAAAUAUGGAUAAACAUGUAUAAUUUCACACAUGGAUUCAUAAAUGCGCAUUUAUACAUUUACACUCAAAAAUCAGUUGGGCCCAGCUUACAUACAUUAUCACAAUUACAUUCUUUUUUUUUUUUUAAAGAUUUAUUUAUUUAUUAUAUAUAAGUACACUGCAGCUGUCUUCAGACACACCAGAAGAGGGCAUCUGAUAUCAUUACAGAUGGUUGUGAGCCACCAUGUGGUUGCUGGGAUUUGAACUCAGGACCUCAGGAAGAGCAGUCAGCGCUCUUAACCGCUGAGCCAUCUCUCCAGCCCCCACAAUUACAUUCUUACACACACACAUGAAUACAUUCUCACAGUCACAUACUUACACACACAUCCAUACUUACAUACACAUAUGGAGCAAAAGACCAAGCACCAGUGCAGAAAGAACUCACUCAUUCUGGAUGAAAGAUGAGCUCCAAUAUUUAUCACAUAGAGAAAGAAAUUGCUUCUACCCUUUUAAUGCUAAGUGAAUUAAACCCAAGUUGGUAAGAGAAAAGGCUUGUUCCUUUUAAUAAGACUAAGCCUGCCUUGCUAUUAAGAAAUGACCUGUUCUGUCCCAUAGUAAAGCGAAACCUGCCUGUGCCUUCUGUUCUCUCCAGCUUCUUCUUUUUUCCUCUUUUCCUCUGCAUUCUGCACAUUGCUCUCUUAUGUUACCUAUAGUUUCUAAGUUAUUCAUCUCUGCAUUUCUUCUCAGCCCAGAUCUUAGUAGCUCAGUUCUCCUUAGCUCAAACCUGACUCUUCAGCUCAGUCCUUCUCCAGCUCAGUCCUUCUGUAUCUGUCUUGCUGUGUGUCCUUCGUCUCAGUCCUUCUGUGUAUCUUCUCUUUGUCCUCCGCACUUAAACAUCUUUCAGAAUACAUGAUCACGUGUUACAAAGUUCAUCACAAGCUCAUAUGAAAGAUCAAAGCAUAAAUUGAAAUAGAAGUUUACAGCUGAGAAUGUUUACAUGAAUAUCCAUCAAGAGUAAUUAUCUGGCUAAACAUUCAUCACCAGUGUCAGCUCUACAGGUUCACUGAAGGUCUAAAACCAUAGUUGUUAGUGAAGUUUUAUAUAGAUAAACCCAGUCAAUAUUUUAUCCUCUGUCCUAACACCUAUAAUAAAUCAUUUGUUCUCUUUUUAUGACCCUUGAUAAUUAUUUUACAACCUCUUGGAAUGUGUUCUGAGUAGGAGAAAGUCUGGUUACUAUCUAAGAGCAAUUAAAUGGUGACACCUGGGAGACUGGCAGAGUUCUAACUGCAAUUUUGACUAUUAGAAAGAGACUUAAUAACAGUCCCACUAUAAAAAAGCUUAAUAGUCAUUGACAUAAUUUUAGGAAUUCUUAUAGGAUCAUCAUUAAGACUAAAGAAGUCAUCUAUUUGUCUAUAUAGCAUCACUAUGAGACAGUACAUCUUCGUAGAUCUGCAGAGAUCUGCUCCAAAGGAGUGUGCUAUUACUCAAUGAUUGUUAUAUAUGUCUAAUAAUAACAACAGGAAAAGCAUUUUAAUAGGAAUCUUUCCCAAAAUGAAUCCCUUACAGCCUUGCUUAAUAAGGGCGAACCAGUCACAGAUUAUAUAAUAUUCCGAGACUGGCCAUCUCAGAAUGAUCACCUGCUAGUUAUUAGCUUGUCCUUUUAUGGCUCCUGACAAAUGUCUAUGCACUGUAUGUAUGGAGGGUGGAAAUAAACAUGAAACUAGUAAGGAGACCACUUCUUAGUUAUUGUUCUGAUAAAACACCCUGACAAAAUCAACCCAAGUGAGAAAGGCUUUAUUCAGGCUUACAAUUGAGAGGGAUAGUGUAUCAGUCCGAAAAGGCAUGGUGCAGCGAGCAGGAAGCUGGCUGGUCACAUUGUAUCUGUUCUCCCCAGCAGAGCAUAAACACACUGAGGCCAGGCUGUAAAACUGCUGUAAUGACUCAUUUCCUCCAGCAAGACUCCACCUCUUAAAGGUUCCAUAGCCUUCCCAAACAGCAGCCAGAAACCAAGUGGGUAGGCACAAACAUCUGUGUGAGACACUCCACAUUCAAACCACAGCACUGUGUAUGCUUCUCAAGGUUUUAUUAUUUAUUUAUUCGUGUGUGCAUGUGCACAUGUGUUGUGGAUGUGCUUCUGUUUCUCUGUGUGUGUCUGUGUGGGCCUGUGUGGGUCUGAGUGUGUAUAUAUGUGUGUGUGUGGAUGUGGUGUGUCUGUGUGUUUGUCUGUAUGCAUGCAUCUCUGUGUGUGCAUGUGUCUGUGUGUGUCUAUCUGUGUGUCUAUGUGUCUGUCUAUACCUGUCUGUCCAUGUAUCUAUCUGUACGUCUGUGUGUCUGUCUGCCUGCAUCUGUGUGUGUGUGUGUGUGUGUGUGUGUGUGUGUGUGUGUGUGUGUUUGCUCACAUACAAAUAGCACAUGUGUGGAGCUCAGAGGACAAAUUGCAGGAGUUGGUUCUUUGUCAACCCUAUGAGUACUGGAUCAAACUCAGAUGUCAGAUGUGGUGGUAAAUGCCUUUACCCCAUGAGCCACCUGGCAGCUCUUAAUUUUUGAAAAAUAAAAUGAAGGCCCAGAAUGUUAAAGCAAUAAGAAGUCUUAUUUACUUGUCUGUCUCUAACUUUGAGCUAUCCUUGGACACUACAUGUUGUGUUUCCAGUGACUUUGGGGGGUGGGAGGGUUGUGCCUUUGGUGGAAACAAUCAGAUUCUGGGUUAUGAAGAAGAUAGCCAUAAGUCACACAGGGGUUUCAAGACACCUCCAUGAGGACUGUUCUCUGAGGUGAUCUUAACAUAGGAGAGGGAAGAAAAGUGGGCAGAGGUCAGGAUGCAUAAGGAGAGCAAAGAAAGGAUGAAGGAAGUGGGGGAUGGUCUAGAAGGAGGCUGAUGGUGACGCUGCAGAUGAGGGUGAUGCAUAGCCAGCUAUGGCUUUGACAUCAAUCAAUAGAUUGUCAUUGGCCAGCUGGGGACAGCUGCUCUAUUCACAUGCCACCCCCUUCUCACACAGGGCCAGUGUAGUGUUCUGAAUGGCAGCUUAUUAACUGAGCUCCCUCUGGUACUGUACUCACCGGGACACUGUCCAACUCUCUCAAGGUCCACUCUCCAAAGGGAAGAAAAACGCACAUUGAUAGUACCCUGAGCGAACACGUGGCUCUAUUGAACAUAAAAACCUAACUCUGUACACACUGCGACAUUCUCUUUUCUUAUUUCUGUCCCAUUCCUCACCUCUCACUACUGAGGCAAUGCUGGAGAAUUAGAAAGGGCUGCUGCCCCUCUGUGUAGACAAGGAGAGCUACAGAACUGUUCCUGGUGGCCCUGCUUGCUAUGAACACUUCACACGUCUGCAACCCAUGAGGAUGAUUGGGGUUUGGAACCAUACCUUCAGAAGAGGGUAUGCACAUAUGUUGAUAUUUAACAUGGGGAACAGAGGCAGAAGGGGGCAGAACUACACAUCCCUUUGUAUUUUCCUUUAAAAUAGAAGUUUCCCAUAUUAAAGAAUUGAAUUGUGAGUAACUAGUUAUCUAGCUUCAGUAGCAAAUGCCCCUGUUUAAUCCCAUUACUCCUCCCCACCCCUCACAGAGAAAAGUUGUUCUGUGGUGGAAUUCCAUCUACUGAGUCAAGAACCUGAUACUUCUGAAGAAGCAAAGACAAGUCAUUUCGUGCCUAUAAAUUUUAAGAGACAAAAUGCACUAUGAAGCUCGAGUAUAGCUUAAAAGGAAGAGAAACAGUCACAACUUCUGAUGGGUAAAUUAAUUUGGCAGGGUAGGUUAUUGGGUUUUGUUUUUCUCCCUCUUGUGAGAGUCCGAGAAGAUGGAAAGAUGCUGAGAAAGGAGGGUGUGUUUGGAGUUAUUAGUAGAUUGUGUCCAUCUCAGAUGCCCAGUGACACUCAAGAGCUACAGGCACAGAUAACAGAAGGAGUGGGGCCUAACUUGGGAGUAGGGACCAUGGGACACAAUUUCCCACAGAUGCCUUAAGGGAUGAGGCAGGAAUGGUUUAUAAAUGUCAGAGACUCAUGUACCACAUGCUUCUAGGAUAUCAAAAGGAACUCAGAACCAGUGUAGUCUGGGGAAAGUGGCCCCCAAACUUCCCCCAAGCAACUUCAGAUGAACCUCCUAGGUCAUGACUAACUGAUGCUGCAGCCAGACUCCUGGUGUGACCCUGAGCCAGAGGCUCUCCAACACUGAGUUCUGUUCAACAGCCUUGCAUAAAAUCGUAAAUAUUGCCUACAAAUUCUUUGUAUUUCUUCCCCUAAAGCGAUGGCACCCAUACCCCUCUCUUCCUCUAGUUGGCUCUUAGUCAUAUCAUACCAGCUUCAGCCCACUGUCCACAAAUAGAAACUUGGAAAGUGCUCACUUCUUUGGGCUUGCCAAUCCCAGACAGCCAGGGAGAACCAACUCAAAGCUGAACAAACAUACCCCAACUGCCCACAUUAUGAGAGUCAACCACAACCCAUGCAAGAGAGGCCAUUUAAGGACCAACCAAUCUCCUCUCACCUCCCCUAUGCCCUGUGAGCUGCCUUGUUGUGGUCUGACUGUGUAUAUCCCUCCAAUUCGUAUGCUGAGAUCUAAAGCAGUAUUAAGAGGUAAAGACUGGGACCAGAGGUAACCAAAUCUAAGAAUGUAGGAAAAGCCAUAUAGGAGCCUACUUUUUUAAAAGCAAGCUAAAGGAAUGGCUUGUUUAAGAGACUUAGUCAGGGAUAUGGUGUAGGUAGAAACAUUGCUCCCACCUGUCACAGGUUAGGUCUAAAUCCCAAUACCAGGUGUGGGGUGGCUCUCUAUGAGCUGUUAGCCAGGGGGCCUCCAGAGAUCCCAAACCAAUAUAGUCUAUCGCUACUGCUCUUGAACCAGAACUACACAAUAAGACACUGUAAGACAGUAUACACAGAAAUCAACACAAAGAAAUAAGGUUGGAACUGAACUGGGAGCCUCCUCCCUGCUGACCAGUGCUCAGAGUUCCAGAAGGUGUUGUACAGGUUAUUGCAAGCAAAAACAACAAUAUUAUCCAGCUGUGAACCUAUGUGCUACAAUACAGACCUGCCAGACAAGACUUAUGCCCAGUGGUAUAGUCGUGGCACAACCGUCCAAGGAAUAACCAGCCAUUUCCUGGUUGGAUCUGAGACUUGACUUCAUGGGAGGUAAAACAGCCUUAGUAGUAUAAAUCUUGUCCCGGGUGCACAAAGAGACCCCAUGAAGACAGACAGAGCCGGGGCUCAGUUAGCUCCUAUAGGAGUAAGCAUACGCAUCUAAUUUAGAUGCUCUUCUUGUCCCUUGGCUUUUCUAUUACCAACAUCAUAUGCUUUUUAUUGCUGUAACGUUACAACUCUUGAGUUGGGUACUGCUACUCCUUGCGGAUGUCUGGAGAGGUUUUCAAAAUUCUACACAGAUGAAAUGGUUAACAUGGAUCCCCUAUAAGAAAAGAGAUAGAAGUCAGCAUUUAGACACCUACACAUUUCCAGGCUCUUGUCAUUUGGUAUCUUUGUGAACUUGAGACUCCUGUCAGAAACAAAGUCAUCACCAAAGACCACAUGCAACCCAUGCAAGGUGCUCACACAGUCUUGGACUCUGACUCCCUCAAGCCUUAAACCAAGUAAAACCUCCAUUAUGUUAGCCUGCCUUGGGAAUUUCGUUAUGGUAAGUGUGAUGAUUUAUAUAUGCUUGGGAGUGGCACUAUUAGGAGGUGUGGUCCUGUUGGAGUAGGUGUGUUACUGUGGGUGUGAACUUUAAGACCCUCAUCCUAGCUGCCUGGAAGCCAGUCUUCUGCUAGCAGCCUUCAGAUGAAGAUGUAGAACUCUCAGCUCCUCCUGCACCAUGUCUGCCUGGACUCUGCCAUGUUCCCGCCUUGAUAAUGGACUGAACCUUUGAACCUGUAAGCCAGCCACCAAUUAAAUGUUGUCCUUAUAAGAGUUGCCUUGAUCAUGGUGUCUGUUCACAGCAGUAAAACCCUAAGACAGAAAUGAUAGAAUAAAUUAGAUAAUACUGUCUCUCAUUUCUGUUCCUUGUCAGUUGCUGUGUGGGCCCCUUGAACAUCCACAACAACCUUAGAAUCAGCCUAUGCAUUUCUACAGAACUUAAUGCUGUGCUUUCUGUGGGAUUGUGUUGACUCUACGGGUCAACUUGGGAAGAACUGAGAUCUUAGCAAUAUUGAGUCUGUUUACCUAGCAACACCAUGUAUUUAUGUCUCCAAUUAUUCUCAGGAAUAUCUAGUUCUCACAUGCUUUGCCAGAUAUUUAGCAUGUUGAUGUCAAGAUGUUUUACAUUUCACUUAUAUUUAUAUUUUGGAAUGUUUAUUCUUAUAGAAAUAUAACUAAUUUUUUCUCUUAUUUUUUCUCUUUUAAACAGAGUUUCUCUACAAAGUCCUGGAUGUCCUGGAGCUCUGUGUAGACCAGGCUGAACUUGAACUAAUAGAAAUACUCCUACCUCUGCCUCUCCAGUGCUGGGAUUAAAGGUGUAAGCUACCACACCUGGCAUCAUAACUAAUUUUCAUGUGUUCAACCUAUACUGUGUAAUAUAGUUAAACUUACUUCUAGUGGCUUGUUGUAGAUUUUUCUACAGAAGCAGUAUGUCAUUUUCAAAUAUUUCCUCUUUGCAGUCUGAGGACUCUUCCUUCCCAUACUGCUCACCUUAUUGCAUUUUCUAGGCCUCUCGCCAAAGGCUGCAUACAAUUUAUUCAUGUAGAUGUUUGCUUCUCCAGAUCUUAAGGAUAUAAAUUGUUAUAGCCUUUUAACUUUCCUGGAAUGACCUUUAUAAAACUGCUAACAUUUCUAACAACACCUUUAAGAAGUCACGAGUAAAUUCUGGCAUCAGACUUUCUAAGUCUUUUAAUGACAAAUUUACUUUAUAUAGCUGUGCAAUAUAAAGUAACUCGGAAUGUAUAUCUUAUCCUGAGUGUGUUUCGGUAAUUAUGUCUUUAAAUAGAUUUGUCUCUUUAUCCAAGUUGUCAGUUUGUUGUGGAAUUGUUUGUGACCUCUUAUUACCUCUCCAUGUCUGUAUUGUCUGUAGUGAUGUCUCCUCUUUCCUUUUGAUGUUAGUCAUUUUCCCUGUUGCCUCUCUUACCUGAGCAGUCAGCCUCCAGAACUGUCAAUGUUACAGACAUCCACAGAGAACCGACGUUUACUUCCAGUGAUUUCUUCUUACUUGUUUGUUCCAUUUAUUUCCUCAUUUCCGUUUUUCUGCUCCCUUUGAUUUAAAUUUACGUUUUCCUAGUUCCUUAAUGUGGAAACCAAGAUAACAGGUUUUUUUCUGAGUAUUAAAAUUUUCCCUCUAAGAACUGUGUUAUUAGCCCGCCACAAAUUUUGAUACGUUAGGUCAAACAUUUUUCCAAGAUAGGUAAGACAUCAUAGUCCAACAAGCAACUAUAUUUUGAAUAUUUUUUUAAGAUUUUAUUUAUUCAUUUUAUAUAUGAUGAGUACACUGUCACUGUCUUCAGACACACCAUAAGAGUGCAUCAGAUCUUGUUACAGAUGGUUGUGAGCCACCAUGUGGUUGCUGGGAUUUGAACUCAUGACCUCUGGAAGAGCAGUCAGUGCUCUUAACCACUGAGCCAUCUCUCCAGCCCUAUUUUGAAUAUUUUUAAGUUACUGUAUAUUUACCAAGUUUGUUACCAUGGUUUCCACCCUGGCACUAUUUUCUUUCUAGUUAAAGGACUUUGCUUAACCUUUUUAGAGCAUGGGACUAGCUGUUGUUGACCUAUGUCGGCUUUUGUUUGUCUCAGACAGUUCUCCUUUCAGCUGGGUGUGCUGAAUCACAUCUACAAGCUCAGCACACUGGAGAUAGAGAGAAAAAGAUCAGACGUUCAAGGCCAUCCUCGGCUACAUGAUAAAUGUGCAGUCAGACUGGACUACAUGAAAAUCCAAUCUCAAAAAAAGAAAACAAAAACCUUUGUAUGAGGAAAUAUUCACUAGCUAUUGAGCUCUAGUUUAAAAGAGUUUUAGGAAUGAUGCUUUACUCUAUCCUGCCCACUUUGUCUCUAAAGAAACGGAAAUGAGCCAUUAUUCUUACCUUUGUCUUCUGUAAACAAAACACCUUUCCUCUAACUCUUCUACUAUUUCUCUCUGAAAUCACUUGUUGUGUAGCUUAUGAUUGACCUGCUAAGAAUUUCCUCCCUGUUUCUUAUGGUUGGAGUUUGUUGGGCAUCUUAGACACAUGCUUUUAUAAUUUGUAUCUAAAUCAAAAAUGUUUCACUCAUGCAUGCUUCAAGUGAUUUGCAUACCCCUCCUACAUACCCCAUUCUUCCUCCCAGCAGGGAUUCCACUUACAUGCUGCCCAGAUUAGGGCUUCUGUUUCAUGAUAAAACACUAUGACUAAAAGCAACUUGGGGAAGAGAGCAUUUAUUUCAGUUUACAAAUCUCAGUUACAAUCGGUCACUAAGGAAAGUCGGGGCAGCUAUGUGAGGCAGGAACUGAAGCGGAGACCAUGGAAGAUUUGUACUAACCAGCCUGUCAAUUCGCUCUCUUCUAUCCCAGGACCACCUGCCCAGGAGUGGCACCACCCAUUUCACAGCUGGGCACUCCCAUAUUAGUCAAUAAUGUAGAAAAUGUCCCCACAGGUUUGACUACAUUCCAGUGCAAUGGAGGACAUUUUCAACUGAGGUUCCCUCUUCCCAGAUCGCUUGUAUCAUGUUGACAGAAAGCUAACCACGUCUCGUUAAUGCUCUGUUUUGCCUUAUUUUUCCUCAGAGUUUUUACCUCUGUGUCUUUUUAGACUAAGUUCUAUGUCUUCAAAAUAUGUUUUUGUAACAGAGUAUCUGACGUUAGAUUUGUCAAGUCCAUCUUUUACCUCAGAGAUUAUAAUUCUAUUUCUAGAGGCUCAAUUUGGGACUCUAUCUUGUGUGUCUCUAGUUAAUAUAGUCAGCCUUCUCUUCAGCUACUUGAACACUUUCAACGACUUUAAGGUGCUUAAUAGCUAACUUCAACACCUGUGUCAGUUCUGGAUUCAUUUCAAUUAAUGUUUUUUCUUCAUUGUGCUUCUUCAUAUUGUCUCACUUGAUUUAUGAAUUUAAAAUGUAAUCAAUUCUUUAUCAAAGUAUAGUCACCUCAUUGUUAUUUUAAUAGAGAAAUUGGAAAAUCAAUCAGUAGUGGACUAGAUACGUUAGAAAUAGAAAUACAAAUAUAAUUAAAUAGGCGUAUGAUGAAGAAUGAGGUCACUCCCUGUUUACAGAUUGGACAUCUUGCCUAAUGGUAGAUUAAAAAACAACUUUCAUGACAGUAAGAAAUAAACAAAGGUUUGAAUGUACGUGUACAUGUUAUAUUGAUGUGUGCAUGUUAUACUGAUGUAUGCAUUUUUUUUCUGCUCAGACACACACAAAAAAAUACUCUUAAAAUGAAAGUGGGCCACUGAGAUGGCUCAACAGGUAAAGGAGCUUGCUGUCAAGGCUGUGGAUCUGAGUUCAAUCCCAGUAAUCCAAGAAGAUUGAUUCACACAAGUUGUUCCCUGACCUCCAUACACAUGACAGGCAUGUGCCCCCCCAAAAAAAUGAAUCAAAUGCACUAAAAAGACUCUAAAUAUCAAAAGUGUGAAAAGGAUAGUCCCUUCAAGAAAGGAAGUAGAGUUGGAAAGCUUUGCUGUCCUGCUAAGUGUUGGCAUUUUCUCACCAUGAGUCUGGAGCACAUGCCACUGUGAACAUAGAGCACAUCUCACUGUGAGCAUGGAGCACAUCUCACUGAGCAUGGAGCACAUCUCACUGAGCAUGGAGCACAUCUCACUGUGAGCAUGGAGCACAUCUCAUGUGAGCAUGGAGCACAUACCUCACUGAGCAUGGAGCACAUACCUCACUGAGCAUGGAGCACAUCUCAUGUGAGCAUGGAGCACACACCAUUUUAACUCUGAUUCUAACUUGUUCUGCUUUGAGAAUGUUAGUCGUGUCUUUUUAGAAUUGUCAUUCACCACGUCUACUGUUUCUGGCACUCUUUUAUAAACUGAAGUAAAUAAUAAAUAUAAGAAUUACUUAACAGAAGGGACAGAUUCAGAUCUCAGUUGAUGCUGAGACCAUUGGAAGAACCUGCUGCAGAUAUGAAAACACCUUAAUUCAUCAAUUUUGAGGGGAAAAAAACAAAAACCAACAUCAGCAAAAAAACUCAUGACCACGUGAAGGGCUGUGCACCGAGGAGGAGCAGAGGCUUUGACUGGGCUCAGUUUCUGCUGUGCAAAUGUCUAGUGGAGGCCAGGGAUGAACUGAGCUUUCUGGAAAGAUGAAAGUUAGAAGGAGAGGACAGGAAGUAAGAAGGCUGGAGAGUGGGGGAUGCAGACGCUGGAUAUACAGAAUGCUUUCCAACACGUGCUCUGUCCUAGGGCUUAUGUCAUUCAUUCCACAAUGUCCUCUGAAUGGCGAUAAACGUUCCACAUGCACACAAUGUCCCAGACACCGACCUCAAAGCUCUGAGACAGCAAGGGGUGUCAUCAUCAACAUUGUCUGUUGUUCCCAUGUGACUGUGAGGAUACUGAACUGCAGAGGAGUCACAGACUGCCCACACCAUCAGGAAGGUGUGACAGAGGGGGCCCCUUGGCAAUCUGGUCCCAGGGUCUUCAACACCAUACCACUGCUACGUCAUCUAUAGAAGGCACCGUUUGGCUCUCCUCAAACCAAAUUGUACCUCUUAAGGAAAACCAGUACAGUCCAAUAUGAGACAAAGACAUCUAAGAAAGUACCAAGCCCUGUGUAAAAGAGGUCCCUCCACAAGGCAGCAAAUCCCCUAGCAUGGUGUCCUUCACAGACAUACAGCCUCUUCCCUGAAGACCAGGUUGUUCCAACUGGCAACCCCCACAUUCGCCUUCCUCUCCUACUUCAUUGUUUCCACACCCAUUCCACUUCAGCCAAUCACAGUCUACCUGAGCUCGCUGUCUGUCCACGUUCCUUCAGCAGAAUACAACCUCCGUGAAAGCUGAGUGUUUUGUAUGGUCGUUCACAGCUGUACUCCUAUGACCUAAUCUGCGGCAAAUAAUAAAUAUGAGUCGAAUGAAUCACCCAGUCAAGUGAGAGGCUGAACUCUGACUUGUAGAGUCUAAGCCAGCUCUAUGUGUGACUGGUAAGCUUGGUAUUGAAGACUUCUUUCUCCCUCUUCCUCCUCUACUUCUCCAAACCUACUGAAGAAAUUCACUUACCCAGCCUGCACUUUCCGUAAGCCUGGGGUGUGAGCGUGUGCCUCUUGUCACACACUUGAGAGACUAAUAGCACACCUUGAGAAACUUGGAGCUGCCCUCGGCUUGCCUGCUGUCUGCUGGCAAGUUACCAGGCCAUUACUGGCUAUUAAAUCUUAAUCACAGCCUUCACCUGCAAUCAGGAGCUUUGAUUAGCUCUAUUCACAAGCCUGUCAGGUCAGAAAUGAGGAAGCAGGGGGAACAGAGAAAUGGGAGAACUCGGUCAUUGAGAACAUCAUGACUUAUCCAGAGUGACCAUUGCAUGUGUCCUCAGCCUCCAAGUGACUGCACAAUGGGACUCUCAUUCUUUGGCAGCCAGACUUCUCUCUAUGCUGUGAACCACCACGGGUCCCUGCUUUCACAGGGAAACUUUUACCCACUGAGGAUCUGAUACCAAAAAAAAAAAAAAAAAAAAGUCAAGCAGAGAGUGGGCCUAACCAGCAGAAGGGAAUCCACUACUGUUCUGUUAGAAGGGCAAUCUAGGGCAGUUCUAGGCUUGAUAUCCCCUGAAGCAGUCACAUCCCCCAUACAAAGCACUGUUCCAUGAAUCUAAGCAAACUCUGGCACUCUGGGAGGCAGCUGUGUACUUGAGGGUCAAUGAAGAGGCUGCAGCUGAGAUUCCAUUCAACCCUGAGUCCCUGGACACAGACACAGCACCACCUGGCAUACAUUUGCUCUGUGUCCAUGACACUACCCCGGGAAGAAUUGUCACAAUAUUUGAACCUGGUUGAUUCCCAUCACAUUCAAUAAGAUCCACAAAGGCUCUCAGUUGUAAUAAAAUCAGAGAAGCCCCUUGAUCCAGAGGGCACUGAGCCCCAAAUGUACCAUCUACACCUAUAAGAAUGUUUAAUUUGUAAAUUCAGAAUAGCAAAAGAUUAACAACUAAUGAUAAAAAUAGAAGACUUAUAGCAUGUUACGUACAUAGUAAUUUCAAAAUGAAAAGAAGUUAAAAAUCAUGAGUUUUUGAAAGUUCUGAAAACUUCCAUUUAAUAUUUUUGGACCAAAUUAGAGAACUUAAACUGUGGGAAAGGAAACCAUGAAUGCAGGGGAUAAUUGCAUAUCCUUUAGGUGGGUUGGCAUGAAAACUGAUAAUUGAGCCACAAGGCAAAGUAAUGAGUUAACCAAGGUCCCAGCAAGGGUCAAGGGACUGAGGCCCAGCUGAACAUUUACCUGCAGAGAUUUCAGAAAGCUCCAAGAGAGAGUAGCUUUGGAAUGAGCCUAGAAGAUGAAAAAGCUGAGGAGAUGGCUCAGUGGGUAAAGUGCUUGUUCAAGGAUCCUAGUGUGGCUUCUGGGCACCCACAGAAAGUGUCAGGCAUGAUCUCAGCACUGGGAGACAGGGACAGAAGAAUCUGACAGCCUAUGUGCCGACCAGCCUAGCCAGUAUGUGAGCUCUGGGUUCACUGAAGUGAGAGAACCUGUCUCAAAACAAUAAGGUAGAAAAUGACAGGAAGAUACCCAAUGUCAGCCUCCGGCCACAAACGCAUGCACACAUGCACGCAAGCACUGUGAUGGUUUGUAUAUGCCCAGCCCAAGGGAUGGCACUAUUAGGAGGUGUGGCCUUGUUGGAAUAGGUGUGUCACUGUGGGCGUGGGCUUAAGACCCUCACUCUAGCUGCCUGGAAGUCAGUUUCCCACUAGCCUCUGAACCUGUAAGCCAGCCCCAGUUAAAUGUUGUCCUUUGUAACACUUUCAUUGGUCUCUGUUUACAGCAAUAAACUAACUAAGACAGAAAGGUACCAGGAAUGGGGUAUUGCUGUGAUAGGCUGGACCAUGCUUUUGUUUGGAAGAAUGUGGAUCUGGGGACUGUGGAUUUGGAAAGUGGUGGGGCUUAAUAGGCCAAACUGGUAAGGAUAUGAAAGGUUUUGCUGAGAGUAAUUUGAACUGUGCAGACCUGGUCCAAGAGGUUUCAGAGGAGAAUUUCAGUACGUGGCAUAGAGACUGUUUUUUAUGGUAUUUUGAUGAAGAAUGUGGCUGCUCUUUGCCCUUGUCUGAAGAGUCUACCUGAGGCUAAGGUAAAGAGAUUUAUAUUAACUACAUUGGCAACAGAAGUCUCAAAAAAGCCCAACAGAAACCUUAUUCUCUGGUUAAGUUUCAUGAAGAACAUUUUAAACAGGCGUAGCAAGCUUAGAAAAGAAAAAUAUAAAAUAUGUGGCUCGAGUGUUAAAGGGGGCACCAGGAAGUGAACUGGAGCUGAAUCCUGUGUUCAAGGAUAUUAAAUCGAAUUAAAGGGAGUAGUGACCUUGGGGCAAGAUCCUACCUAGCUAAAUUUAGAUCCAGGCAUGGUAGUGUGCACCUUUAACCCCAGGAGAUAUCUGAGUUCAAGGUCAGCCUGAGACAGAACAAAUGCUAGGUGAAGAAAAGCUUAAAUCCAACCUUGGUGGACCACACCUUUAAUCCCAGUGCUCAGGAGAAAUGCAUGCAGAUCUCUGAGUUCAAGGUCAAUCUACAGAACAAGAUCCAGGACAGCCAAGCUUAGGCAGUGAAGGAGUUGGGAAAGCUAGUAAUCAUGUAUUAGAACAAGGGAGCCAUGUUCCAGCUCCUGCAAGCAGCAGAACUUGGCAGCUUCAGCCAUGUGAAUCUAGGUUUAGAGUGAAAAAUCAAAGGGACUACUGGGACAAUUGACGCUGGUUAGCUAGAGCUAAGAAAUUAGUAGUUGUUAAGAAGAGAUCAGCAUCACUGAGGUAAAAUCUUCUGGAAAGUGUUUUCUGAGGGCACAAAGAAGCUGUGUUCUAGAGAUAGCCAAGGUUGUGCCUCAUGCUACAGCUGUACUCGGUACUGUUUAAGAGUCACCCAGGUGGUAUGUGAUUUGAAGACAUUAAGGCAUCGUGAAGAGCAGCUGAGGGAAGGCCAUUGGUGAAGGUACAGCCUUGCUGCAGUUGGCGGCCCAGGACUGAAGGGGUCAUGCAAAGGAGUUGAGGCUUGGAACCAUGAAGAGAGCCUAGGAGAGGCUACUGGUGAAGCCCAGUUGCAGCAGAAGACCCCAGUGUAUUGGAGAUGCCAGUACCAUGGGACGAUCACCAAGAACAGCAGCAUCAGUGGAGUGGAUCAACCUGAGUUUAGAGUGCUACAGAGGGCAGAGCUGGAGAAGUGACAACAGCCCUUUGGAGGAAGCCAGAAGAUCGUGUGUGGGUCCCAGACAUUGGAACAGGAAGCUGUAAUGUUGAAGUUGCCCUGGAGACACCAAAAUAUUCGAUUCGAGAUGACAGAUCUGUGAGAUACCUGCUGAGGAAAGCUGCUAACA